rnacentral:rRNA from 1 species
AUUGAACGCUGGCGGCAGGCUUAACACAUGCAAGUCGAGCGGAGAUGAGGUGCUUGCACCUUAUCUUAGCGGCGGACGGGUGAGUAAUGCUUAGGAAUCUGCCUAUUAGUGGGGGACAACAUUCCGAAAGGAAUGCUAAUACCGCAUACGUCCUACGGGAGAAAGCAGGGGAUCUUCGGACCUUGCGCUAAUAGAUGAGCCUAAGUCGGAUUAGCUAGUUGGUGGGGUAAAGGCCUACCAAGGCGACGAUCUGUAGCGGGUCCGAGAGGAUGAUCCGCCACACUGGGACUGAGACACGGCCCUGACUCCUACGGGAGGCAGCAGUGGGGAAUAUUGGACAAUGGGGGGAACCCUGAUCCAGCCAUGCCGCGUGUGUGAAGAAGGCCUUAUGGUUGUAAAGCACUUUAAGCGAGGAGGAGGCUACUGAGACUAAUACUCUUGGAUAGUGGACGUUACUCGCAGAAUAAGCACCGGCUAACUCUGUGCCAGCCGCCGCGGUAA